rnacentral:rRNA from 1 species
AGAGUUUGAUCAUGGCUCAGAUUGAACGCUGGCGGCAGGCCUAACACAUGCAAGUCGAGCGGUAGAGAGAAGCUUGCUUCUCUUGAGAGCGGCGGACGGGUGAGUAAUGCCUAGGAAUCUGCCUGGUAGUGGGGGAUAACGUUCGGAAACGGACGCUAAUACCGCAUACGUCCUACGGGAGAAAGCAGGGGACCUUCGGGCCUUGCGCUAUCAGAUGAGCCUAGGUCGGAUUAGCUAGUUGGUGGGGUAAUGGCUCACCAAGGCGACGAUCCGUAACUGGUCUGAGAGGAUGAUCAGUCACACUGGAACUGAGACACGGUCCAGACUCCUACGGGAGGCAGCAGUGGGGAAUAUUGGACAAUAGGCGAAAGCCUGAUCCAGCCAUGCCGCGUGUGUGAAGAAGGUCUUCGGAUUGUAAAGCACUUUAAGUUGGGAGGAAGGGCAGUAAAUUAAUACUUUGCUGUUUUGACGUUACCGACAGAAUAAGCACCGGCUAACUCUGUGCCAGCAGCCGCGGUAAU